rfam:Medicago truncatula strain A17 chromosome 8, whole genome shotgun sequence.
CCCUUAACUAUUAAAAGUUUCGUUUUGGUCCCUUAACUUAUUUUUUGGUUUCGUUUUGGUUCAUUAACUUAUUUUUUGAUUUCGUUUUGGUCCUUAACUCUAAUACAUUCAUCCUAACGUAAAGGACCAAAGUGGUUGCGGAGGAAGAGUUAAAGGACCAAAACGAAACAAAAAAAUAAGUUAAAGGACAAAAACGAAACUUUUAAUAGUUAAGGGACCAAAACGAAAUCAAAAAGUAAGUUAAGGGACCAAAACGAAACUUUUAAUAGUUAAGGGA